UCAGGAUGAACGCUAGCUACAGGCUUAACACAUGCAAGUCGAGGGGAAACGAUAUUGAAAGCUUGCGUUCUUAGGCGUCGACCGGCGAAUGGGUGAGUAACGCGUAUCCAACCUGCCCCUGAGUAAGGGAUAGCCCAUCGAAAGAUGGAUUAAUACCUUAUGGUUUCCUUUGAAGGCAUCGGAUUAGGAAUAAAGAUUUAUCGCUGAGGGAUGGGGAUGCGUCUGAUUAGCUUGUUGGCGGGGUAACGGCCCACCAAGGCGACGAUCAGUAGGGGUUCUGAGAGGAAGGUCCCCCACAUUGGUACUGAGACACGGACCAAACUCCUACGGGAGGCAGCAGUGAGGAAUAUUGGUCAAUGGGCGGAAGCCUGAACCAGCCAAGUAGCGUGCAGGAUUGACUGCCCUAUGGGUUGUAAACUGCUUCUAUACGGGGAUAAAGUCAGAGUCGUGACUCUGUUUGCAGGUACCGUAUGAAUAAGGACCGGCUAAUUCCGUGCCAGCAGCCGC
rnacentral:rRNA from 1 species